rnacentral:rRNA from 1 species
UACGUAGGGCGCAAGCGUUGUCCGGAAUUAUUGGGCGUAAAGAGCUCGUAGGCGGUCUGUCACGUCUGCUGUGAAAACCCGGGGCUUAACCCCGGGCUUGCAGUGGAUACGGGCAGACUAGAGGCAGGUAGGGGAGAAUGGAAUUCCCGGUGUAGCGGUGAAAUGCGCAGAUAUCAGGAGGAACACCGAUUGCGAAGGCAGCUCGCUGGAACGUUACUGACGCUGAGACGCGAAAGCGUGGGGAGCAAACAGG